AUGAACGCUAGCUACAGGCUUAACACAUGCAAGUCGAGGGGCAUCAGGAAGAAAGCUUGCUUUCUUUGCUGGCGACCGGCGCACGGGUGAGUAACACGUAUCCAACCUGCCCUUUACUCGGGGAUAGCCUUUCGAAAGAAAGAUUAAUACCCGAUAGUAUAAUGAUUCCGCAUGGUUUGAUUAUUAAAGGAUUCCGGUAAAGGAUGGGGAUGCGUUCCAUUAGGUUGUUGGUGAGGUAACGGCUCACCAAGCCUUCGAUGGAUAGGGGUUCUGAGAGGAAGGUCCCCCACAUUGGAACUGAGACACGGUCCAAACUCCUACGGGAGGCAGCAGUGAGGAAUAUUGGUCAAUGGGCGAUGGCCUGAACCAGCCAAGUAGCGUGAAGGAUGACUGCCCUAUGGGUUGUAAACUUCUUUUAUAUUAGAAUAAAGUGCAGUAUGUAUACUGUUUUGUAUGUAUAAGAUGAAUAAGGAUCGGCUAACUCCGUGCCAGCAGCCGCGGUAAUACGGAGGAUCCGAGCGUUAUCCGGAUUUAUUGGGUUUAAAGGGAGCGUAGGUGGACUGGUAAGUCAGUUGUGAAAGUUUGCGGCUCAACCGUAAAAUUGCAGUUGAUACUGUCAGUCUUGAGUACAGUAGAGGUGGGCGGAAUUCGUGGUGUAGCGGUGAAAUGCUUAGAUAUCACGAAGAACUCCGAUUGCGAAGGCAGCUCACUGGACUGCAACUGACACUGAUGCUCGAAAGUGUGGGUAUCAAACAGGAUUAGAUACCCUGGUAGUCCACACAGUAAACGAUGAAUACUCGCUGUUUGCGAUAUACAGUAAGCGGCCAAGCGAAAGCAUUAAGUAUUCCACCUGGGGAGUACGCCGGCAACGGUGAAACUCAAAGGAAUUGACGGGGGCCCGCACAAGCGGAGGAACAUGUGGUUUAAUUCGAUGAUACGCGAGGAACCUUACCCGGGCUUAAAUUGCAGUGGAAUGAUGUGGAAACAUGUCAGUGAGCAAUCACCGCUGUGAAGGUGCUGCAUGGUUGUCGUCAGCUCGUGCCGUGAGGUGUCGGCUUAAGUGCCAUAACGAGCGCAACCCUUAUCUUUAGUUACUAACAGGUCAUGCUGAGGACUCUAGAGAGACUGCCGUCGUAAGAUGUGAGGAAGGUGGGGAUGACGUCAAAUCAGCACGGCCCUUACGUCCGGGGCUACACACGUGUUACAAUGGGGGGUACAGAAGGCAGCUACCUGGUGACAGGAUGCUAAUCCCAAAAGCCUCUCUCAGUUCGGAUCGAAGUCUGCAACCCGACUUCGUGAAGCUGGAUUCGCUAGUAAUCGCGCAUCAGCCACGGCGCGGUGAAUACGUUCCCGGGCCUUGUACACACCGCCCGUCAAGCCAUGGGAGCCGGGGGUACCUGAAGUACGUAACCGCAAGGAGCGUCCUAGGGUAAAACUGGUGACUGGGGCU
rnacentral:rRNA from 1 species